rnacentral:rRNA from 1 species
GACGAACGCUGGCGGCGUGCUUAACACAUGCAAGUCGAACGGUGAAGCGCUUUCCUUUUUGGUUGGUGUGGAUGAGUGGCGAACGGGUGAGUAACACGUGAGUAACCUGCCCCCUUCUUCUGGAUAACCGCAUGAAAGUGUGGCUAAUACGGGAUAUUCUGCGCCUGCUGCAUGGUGGGUGUGGGAAAGAUUGUGCCUUUGGGUGUUUUCGGUGGGGGAUGGGCUCGCGGCCUAUCAGCUUGUUGGUGGGGUGAUGGCCUACCAAGGCGGUGACGGGUAGCCGGCCUGAGAGGGUGGACGGUCACACUGGGACGGAGACACGGCCCAGACUCCUACGGGAGGCAGCAGUGGGGAAUAUUGCACAAUGGGCGCAAGCCUGAUGCAGCGACGCCGCGUGAGGGAUGGAGGCCUUCGGGUUGUGAACCUCUUUCGCCAGUGAAGCAGGCCUGCUCCUUGUGGGUGGGUUGACGGUAGCUGGAUAAGAAGCGCCGGCUAACUACGUG